UACGGAGGGGGUUAGCGUUGUUCAGAAUUACUGGGCGUAAAGCGCACGCAGGCGGUUUGUUAAGCUAGAUGUGAAAGCCCCGGGCUCAACCUGGGAUGGUCAUUUAGAACUGGCAGACUAGAGUCUUGGAGAGGGGAGUGGAAUUCCAGGUGUAGCGGUGAAAUGCGUAGAUAUCUGGAGGAACAUCAGUGGCGAAGGCGACUCCCUGGCCAAAGACUGACGCUCAUGUGCGAAAGUGUGGGUAGCGAACAGG
rnacentral:rRNA from 1 species